GAAUCGAUCCAGGCUCACCACACAUCAUCAGAUAACCUGCAUGUGGAGAGCAUGGAGUUCACCUUACAUACCACCAUACUGACCGGCAGCUGCCGUGUGUCUGCUCAGUCUGCUUCCCUCACAUUCACCAGCCUUCUUGACAACAGCCUCAAUUACUGCAAUCUCCAUGACCUGCUGACAGCGAGUGGCCUCAACUUAGCCCCAGGCUUCACGGAGAUGACCAGUGAAUGGGCCUGCCUCGGCUAUGGAUCUGCUCCAUGUAGAGCCUAACAUAUAAAACUAUGACACUGUUAUAUAUACCCUGCUUUAUUGUGCUCUGUAGUUUUGAAAAUGUAUGUAA